rnacentral:rRNA from 1 species
CCUACGGGAGGCAGCAGUGAGGAAUAUUGGACAAUGGGCGCAAGCCUGAUCCAGCCAUGCCGCGUGCAGGAAGAAGCAUCUAUGGUGUGUAAACUGCUUUUGUACAGGGAGAAACACUCCCUCGUGAGGGAGCUUGACGGUACUGUAAGAAUAAGGACCGGCUAACUCCGUGCCAGCAGCCGCGGUAAUACGGAGGGUCCGAGCGUUAUCCGGAAUCAUUGGGUUUAAAGGGUCCGUAGGCGGUUUAAUAAGUCAGUGGUGAAAUCUGGUCGCUCAACGAUCAAACGGCCAUUGAUACUGUUAGACUUGAAUUAUAAGGAAGUAACUAGAAUAUGUAGUGUAGCGGUGAAAUGCUUAGAUAUUACAUGGAAUACCAAUUGCGAAGGCAGGUUACUACUUAUGGAUUGACGCUGGUGGACGAAAGCGUGGGGAGCGAACAGGAUUAGAUACCCUGGUAGUCCACGACGUAACGAUAGAUACUAGCUGUCGGUAGACGAUACUG